rnacentral:rRNA from 1 species
GAUGAACGCUGGCUACAGGCUUAACACAUGCAAGUCGAGGGGAAACGACGGGGAAGCUUGCUUCCCUGGGCGUCGACCGGCGCACGGGUGAGUAACGCGUAUCCAACCUGCCUCUGACUGAGGGAUAACCCGUCGAAAGUCGGCCUAAUACCUCAUGGCAUCGUCUGCGGGCAUCCAACGACGAUUAAAGAUUUCAUCGGUCAGGGAUGGGGAUGCGUCUGAUUAGCUUGUUGGCGGGGUAACGGCCCACCAAGGCGACGAUCAGUAGGGGUUCUGAGAGGAAGGUCCCCCACAUUGGAACUGAGACACGGUCCAAACUCCUACGGGAGGCAGCAGUGAGGAAUAUUGGUCAAUGGGCGAGAGCCUGAACCAGCCAAGUAGCGUGCAGGAUGACGGCCCUAUGGGUUGUAAACUGCUUUUAUGCGGGGAUAAAGUGAGGGACGUGUCCUUCAUUGCAGGUACCGCAUGAAUAAGGACCGGCUAAUUCCGUGCCAGCAGCCGCGGUAAUACGGAAGGUCCGGGCGUUAUCCGGAUUUAUUGGGUUUAAAGGGAGCGUAGGCCGUGGAUUAAGCGUGUUGUGAAAUGCAGGUGCUCAACGUCUGCACUGCAGCGCGAACUGGUCCACUUGAGUGUGCGCAACGCAGGCGGAAUUCGUCGUGUAGCGGUGAAAUGCUUAGAUAUGACGAAGAACUCCGAUUGCGAAGGCAGCUUGCGGGAGCACAACUGACGCUGAAGCUCGAAAGUGCGGGUAUCGAACAGG